rnacentral:rRNA from 1 species
GUAAAGCGCACGCAGGCGGUCUGUCAAGUCGGAUGUGAAAUCCCCGGGCUCAACCUGGGAACUGCAUUCGAAACUGGCAGGCUUGAGUCUUGUAGAGGGGGGUAGAAUUCCAGGUGUAGCGGUGAAAUGCGUAGAGAUCUGGAGGAAUACCGGUGGCGAAGGCGGCCCCCUGGACAAAGACUGACGCUCAGGUGCGAAAGCGUGGGGAGCAAACAGGAUUAGAUACCCUGGUAGUCCACGCCGUAAACGAUGUCUACUUGGAGGUUGUGCCCUUGAGGCGUGGCUUCCGGAGCUAACGCGUUAAGUAGACCGCCUGGGGAGUACGGCCGCAAGGUUAAAACUCAAAUGAAUUGACGGGGGCCCGCACAAGCGGUGGAGCAUGUGGUUUAAUUCGAUGCAACGCGAAGAACCUUACCUGGUCUUGACAUCCACAGAAGAAUCCAGAGAUGGAUUUGUGCCU